UCCGGGUGCAGGCGGGCCUGGGCAGUCUGAGUCCUACCUCAGCCCCCACCUCACCUCCCUGCAUCCUCCUAGCAUCUCUGCAGGGCUAGCCCAGAGGUUGGCGGCGGAAGGCCCACAGCUCCCCUGGCUCCAUGGGCAAUGACCGAACAGCCCUUCACCUCUCUGGGCCUUGUUUUCUCAAACUGAAACUGGAGAGGAUGACCCCAGCCUGGGACCUUCGAGGGCCUCAAAAGGGCUCUGGGCCUUGCGUGGCUGGACGAUGAAUGUGAUGGCUGGAACUCAAGCAGCCACAGUGGAUCAUAAGGGACGGUGUCUUGCUAUGUUGUCCAAGCUGGUCUCAAACUGGCCUGAAUCAAUGCUUCCACCUCAGCUGCCAGAGGAACCGGGAUUACAGGCCUGAGCCACUGCAGCCAGCCAGUUUGUUAUUUUAAUGUAAAUUCUUAGUAAACAACUCAGGAGCUCUCUUGUCCUUUUAAAAUCCAUUUCAACUUCUGCUAAUCGGAGUGUAUAUUCAGGGCAACUUGAAUCUGUGCUCCUGGGAUGCAAUCCUCAAGCUUGGCCCAAAUAAAGUCUCCGCUGAUAUUAA
rnacentral:lncRNA from 1 species